GAGGAGCAUGUCUCUCUGUCAUGCUCCCUGCGGUUCCCACAAUUCCCAGCACAGGAUGUUGGAACCGCAGGGAGCAUGACAGAGAGACAUGCUCCU